GCUAGCUGUGUGCUUAAUACAUGCAUGUUGAACGGAAUAUUUUAGUUCGCUAAAAUAUUUAGUAGCAAAUGGGUGAGUAACACGUACCUAACCUACCUUUUGGACUGGGAUAACCAUUGGAAACAGUGGCUAAUACCGGAUAUGAUAAAAAUUUGCAUGAAUUUUUAUUCAAAGGAGCCUUCAAGCUUCACCAAGAAAUGGGGGUGCGCAACAUUAGUUAGUUGGUAGGGUAAAAGCCUACCAAGACGAUGAUGUUUAGCGGGGCCAAGAGGUUGUACCGCCACACUGGGAUUGAGAUACGGCCCAGACUCCUACGGGAGGCAGCAGUAAGGAAUAUUCCACAAUAAGCGAAAGCUUGAUGGAGCGACACAGCGUGCAGGAUGAAGUCUUUCGGGAUGUAAACUGCUGUUGUAAGGGAAGAAAAAACUAGAUAGGAAAUGCUCUAGUCUUGACGGUACCUUAUUAGAAAGCGACGGCAAACUAUGUGCCAGCAGCCGCGGUAAUACAUAGGUCGCAAGCGUUAUCCGGAAUUAUUGGGCGUAAAGCGUCCGUAGGUUUUUUGUUAAGUUUAAAGUUAAAUGCUAAAGCUCAACUUUAGUCCGCUUUAGAUACUGGCAAAAUAGAAUUAUGAAGAGGUUAGCGGAAUUCCUAGUGGAGUGGUGGAAUACGUAGAUAUUAGGAAGAACACCAAUAGGCGAAGGCAGCUAACUGGUCAUAUAUUGACACUAAGGGACGAAAGCGUGGGGAGCAAACAGGAUUAGAUACCCUGGUAGUCCACGCCGUAAACGAUGAUCAUUAGUUGGUGGCAAAAGUCACUAACACAGCUAACGCGUUAAAUGAUCCGCCUGAGUAGUAUGCUCGCAAGAGUGAAACUUAAAGGAAUUGACGGGAACCCGCACAAGCGGUGGAGCAUGUGGUUUAAUUUGAAGAUACGCGUAGAACCUUACCCACUCUUGACAUUCUCGCAAAACUAUAGAGAUAUAGCCGAGGCUAACGAGAUCACAGAUGGUGCAUGGUUGUCGUCAGCUCGUGUCGUGAGAUGUUAGGUUAAGUCCUGCAACGAGCGCAACCCUUUUCUUUAGUUGCUAACAUUUAGUUGAGAACCCUAAAGAUACUGCCGGCGCAAGCCGGAGGAAGGUGGGGACGACGUCAAAUCAUCAUGCCUCUUACGAGUGGGGCAACACACGUGCUACAAUGGCUACUACAAAGAGCAGCAAAACAGUGAUGUCAAGCUAAUCUCAAAAAAGUAGUCUCAGUUCGGAUUGAAGUCUGCAACUCGACUUCAUGAAGUCGGAAUCGCUAGUAAUCGCAGGUCAGCUAUACUGCGGUGAAUACGUUCUCGGGUUUUGUACACACCGCCCGUCACACCAUGGGAGUUGGUAAUGCCCAAAGUCGGUGAGUUAACUUCGGAGACCAUUGCCUAAGGCAGGACCGAUGACUGGGGUGAAGUCGUAACAAGG
rnacentral:rRNA from 2 species